AAUUACAUUAUUUUUUAGUCAACUAAGUUUGCACUUUAUCCCUUUUAUGCAAUAGACCAUUAUCGGAAAACAUCGAAUACCUACUCAAAUAUUCAAAUUAGCAAGUGAUUUUUUAUAUAAAAAAAAACGAAAUGGAGAAUCCCCACAUAUAAAAUUAUAUCGAUUUCCUGAAUAAACAUUGAAUUGGAUCAUUAUCCUAUUCUAAAAAAAGUUGUUGACUUGAAGUGGUUAUUAGGAUGGUAGCUGAUUAUAGGAAUAUUCAAAUUUCACAUAUGAAUCGCUCUGGAAGAUUCAGGUCUCCAAGCAGUGCAAUAAAAAUACCAUUUCAUACUUUUAAUUCUUGUAUUUUUAUUGCUUAUUUACCAACUACAUUAUAAAUAAGCUAUGAAAAACAGUUCUGCUGUAUCUAUAAAAACCCAUAUUAUGAAAUAAAUCAUAUAAAAUA